rnacentral:rRNA from 1 species
AUUGAACGCUGGCGGCAGGCUUAACACAUGCAAGUCGAGCGAGCGGCGGACGGGUGAGUAAUGUCUGGGCAACUGCCUGAUGGAGGGGGAUAACUACUGGAAACGGUAGCUAAUACCGCAUACCAUCAGAUGUGCCAAGAUGGGAUUAGCUAGUAGGUGGGGUAAUGGCUCACCUAGGCGACGAUCACUAGCUGGUCUGCGAGGAUGACAAGCCAAACGAGAACUGCGAAACGGUCCAGAGUGCUACGGGAGGCAGCAGUAGGGAAUAUAGCACAAUGGGCGAAAGCCUGAUGCAGCAACGCCGCGUGGGGGAUAAAGGCUUUCGGGUUGUUAACCUCUUUCGCUAUCGAACCGGUAGGUGGUGAAGAAGCACCGGCUAACUACGUGCCAGCAGCCGCGGUAAUAC